rnacentral:rRNA from 1 species
AUGGAUGGUCUUCUCCAUUGGGACUUUGCUCCGGGCCUAGCCCUUGCAAAUCAGGUGAGGCACAAGUUUGGCACGACAUUCCAUUUUUCCCCUUCCCAAGGAUCUAGGGAAUUCUUUCUAGUGGUCACUUUCUCCUCAGCCUCCUUUCCUCUCUCGGUGGAAUCUAUUGGUAUUGCCUUGCAACGUUGUCUUGGGGGUUUAAGCUCUCGAUUCCAUGUUACCAAGAUCAAGGAUCGUACCUUUCAUUUUCUGUUGCAAGCAACAAAGUUGGACAUUUCAUAUAUGGUUUAA